AUGUACAUUCCUACAACACAACGUUAAUGCACCGGAUACCAUUAGAACUUCGUAGUUAAGAGCGCUCGGGCUAGAGUAGUAUUGGGAUGGGUGAUUUCCCGGGAAGUCCUAGUAUUUUACAUG
rfam:Picea glauca, whole genome shotgun sequence.